CAGCUGUGUUUUUGGCAGCACUGCUCAUCUGAGGUGUCUCUGCACCCAGUAACCCACGUCAGGAGGUCAGAGACAGCUUACACAGCCCUGCUGAAUGAGCUGAACUCGGCCCACCCAGUGAGAGACUGAGGUAAGUACGGCUGACAACUCUCCUACAGCCUUCCUGCAGCUCCCCAGACAGCAGAAUCCAGAGCAGAGGACAGCAAC
rnacentral:lncRNA from 12 species